AACUUGGAUGAGCGAAACUCGACUUGGACAGAUAUCAAGAAGUCUUAUAGAAACUCAGUUUUGGAUCCAACUUGAUCCCGACUUGAGCACAUGUAGUGGGUUUCUAUUUUUAUUGUAUGUUAUUUGCCUUUGAAGUUUCUAUUUUUAGUUUUACAUUAAAAAAUAAUAAUAAUAAUAAUAAAAUAAAUAAAAAUAAAUGUUAGGCUGCCUGUAAGUCUGCCCCAACUACUGGUGGAGUGAAGAAGCCCCAUCGAUACCACCCUGGAACUGUUGCUCUUCGGUUCAUGGUCAUAAACCAGAGGGAGAAGAGCUUGAGCGUCGCAAAGAAAAUAGCAGAGGAACCUUCGAAAUAACAGACUGCUGAAGCUUUUGGUCUUGGAGAAUGUAGAAGAAAUCUCUUCUUUCCAUGCAAUCCGAAUGACUUACUGAAAUUCGAAGCAGUGGAGCAUCUUGAUAAACAGAAAAUAUGCUGAAUUGUACUGAAGAACAGAGUAGAGAAACAUAACCAUAUGAAAUAUGUUGAAUUUGUAUAUUGAAUCAACCCCUUGAGUAAUCUGAUACAUUGAUCAGGUGUGACAUUUGGUUUUUGUAUAUUGAAUCAACCCCUUUGGUAAUCUGAUAUAUUACAUUGAUCAAGUCUAAUGUCACAUUUGGUACUUUCUUCAAUAUGUUGAUAUUGGUUUUAAUUUUCUUUUAAAUCAAAAAAUAUGAAAAACAUGAAAAAACCCAGGAAAUAUUAGGACAACUGAAUUUAACUCAAACAGAAUUGUUUCCCUAAUAAAAUGUAGAAUUCAAAUACAUGACUUGCAUUUAAAUAUCAGAAUAACACCUCUGUGAGAAGAAGUUUGGAAGUCUUAUAAUCAUAUGGAACUUCCAAAAUCGCCCCAAUUUUCUGACUCUAUAGAAAGAAAAAAAGAAAAAAAGAACAAAAACAAGAAAAAAGAUGAUGGCAACAAAACCCAUUUCUGCGAAUCAAGUAAUUUCAACAAUCAACAUGAAACCCGAGGAAAAUUCUCAGAUUACCCCAGAAAUCCGAAGAACUUGAAUAUCCUUCUAGAACAACCAUAGCCCAUGUACUGAAAUCCAAUCCAAGAGAACAUAUCAGCGUCGAAUAUCGAAUCAAUUUCAUAAUAAUCAAACAAUUAGCUUUUGGGUUAUUGUGAUCAACCCAUUUCAUAAUAAUUAAUUUAAUCAGGAGUAUGCUUGAUAUUUCACUCUCUACUCUCUGUGCUGUUUUCUUGUCUCUGCUCACUAUGGCCGACUUGCAGGCUUGUGAUUGCAAAUCCAACCUACUUCUGCUGGAAAACUCCGAGUAAUACAUGUGCCAACAUGGCACAUCUGUCAAGAUUAUUCUCUUCAGUCCCUGUCAUUGUGCAAAUCUGCUGAGAUUCUUCUCUUCAGUCAGUCAUUGUGCUAAUACCUCUUUCAGCCUUUUGGCUAUAAGAUCAAGUGCAAUUUUUAUUCUUA